rnacentral:rRNA from 1 species
CGGCGUGCUUAACACAUGCAAGUCGAACGAUGAAGCCCUUCGGGGUGGAUUAGUGGCGAACGGGUGAGUAACACGUGGGCAAUCUGCCCUUCACUCUGGGACAAGCCCUGGAAACGGGGUCUAAUACCGGAUACCACUCCUUCUCGCAUGGGAAGGGGUUGAAAGCUCCGGCGGUGAAGGAUGAGCCCGCGGCCUAUCAGCUUGUUGGUGAGGUAGUGGCUCACCAAGGCGACGACGGGUAGCCGGCCUGAGAGGGCGACCGGCCACACUGGGACUGAGACACGGCCCAGACUCCUACGGGAGGCAGCAGUGGGGAAUAUUGCACAAUGGGCGAAAGCCUGAUGCAGCGACGCCGCGUGAGGGAUGACGGCCUUCGGGUUGUAAACCUCUUUCAGCAGGGAAGAAGCGAAAGUGACGGUACCUGCAGAAGAAGCGCCGGCUAACUACGUGCCAGCAGCCGCGGUAAUACGUAGGGCGCAAGCGUUGUCCGGAAUUAUUGGGCGUAAAGAGCUCGUAGGCGGCUUGUCGCGUCGGUUGUGAAAGCCCGGGGCUUAACCCCGGGUCUGCAGUCGAUACGGGCAGGCUAGAGUGUGGUAGGGGAGAUCGGAAUUCCUGGUGUAGCGGUGAAAUGCGCAGAUAUCAGGAGGAACACCGGUGGCGAAGGCGGAUCUCUGGGCCAUUACUGACGCUGAGGAGCGAAAGCGUGGGGAGCGAACAGGAUUAGAUACCCUGGUAGUCCACGCCGUAAACGGUGGGAACUAGGUGUUGGCGACAUUCCACGUCGUCGGUGCCGCAGCUAACG